GCUUGUAUCACUGUACCAAUUUUAAGUACGUCCAAAUUUAGCCUCGUGUUCAUUAUUUUAUCUGGACAUGGAAGUAUUUUUGAAUUUUUGGAAUCUUGCAUUUAUUUGUAUUUUCUACAGAACUGCAGAUCUUUCUUAGCAAACAAAGGAUAUGUGGUAUGUCAGCACAUGAUUUUAUUCAAGAGAGGUACCUUGUUUCUUGCUUAGUAUGUUCUAAUUAAGGUUUAUUUUAACUCAACUGACAUGUACCAGGUUUUAUCAUCGGAAAUAAAUGAUCAAAGUAUUUGUCAGGUGUUGACUAGUACUCUCCUCUUAUGUGUACAGAGCUACUGAUGCCACGGCCUUGAACCUUUGUAAUGUGCUCCUCCUUUAAAUUUUAUUGCUCUAUUAACUUGGUUUUCCCUUUUGUAAGUUACUCAUCUCAUUUCUUUGCUUCUUUGUGGAUGUAGAUUGCAAGAUAAACAGAUGAUGCAUGGCUCAGAUGUUGAUUGUAAGGUCAAGAAUGGGGAUGGUAGUUAGAUAAUUAGAAUGCCAUUUUCAGGGUCAAUGUUUCAAACAUUGUGUUUUAGAAUGGCUGAUAAGUAUUGAUUGCAAGGUCAAGAAUUGCCUACUAGUACUAGGUAGUUUCACAUCUUGUAAACUUUGGAUCAUGUUCUUUGUAAUGAAAGAUAUUCGAUUAAAUAUAUGAGACAUUUUUGCUCAUUAUAUUGUGUCUCCAAUGCUCUAUCAGCAUUGUCUAGUAAUUCUGGAAAUACCAUGAAUUGUUCAU
rnacentral:lncRNA from 1 species